rnacentral:rRNA from 1 species
GGGUUGUGAGGUUAAGCGACUAAGCGUACACGGUGGAUGCCCUGGCAGUCAGAGGCGAUGAAGGACGUGCUAAUCUGCGAAAAGCGUCGGUAAGGUGAUAUGAACCGUUACAGCCGGCGAUGUCCGAAUGGGGAAACCCAGUGCAAUUCGUUGCACUAUCGUUAACUGAAUACAUAGGUUAACGAGGCGAACCGGGGGAACUGAAACAUCUAAGUACCCCGAGGAAAAGAAAUCAACCGAGAUUCCCCCAGUAGCGGCGAGCGAACGGGGAGCAGCCCGGAGUCUGAAUCAGCUUGUGUGUUAGUGGAAGCGUCUGGAAAGUCGCAGGGUACAGGGUGAUACUCCCGUACACUAAAACACACAGGUUGUGAACUCGAAGAGUAGGGCGGGACACGUGGUAUCCUGUCUGAAUAUGGGGGGACCAUCCUCCAAGGCUAAAUACUCCUGACUGACCGAUAGUGAACCAGUACCGUGAGGGAAAGGCGAAAAGAACCCCGGCGAGGGGAGUGAAAAAGAACCUGAAACCGUGUACGUACAAGCAGUAGGAGCCCCACCACCAAAGCGUUUCGCUUUGCGUGGUGCGCAAAAUGCGUAACGACAGCAUGAUGGACGGUUAACGGAGCGUCAGCGACGUUCAACCUCAAAAAUCAGGCAGUGGAGCGUUUUGGGGUGGGGUGACUGCGUACCUUUUGUAUAAUGGGUCAGCGACUUAUAUUCUGUAGCAAGGUUAACCGAAUAGGGGAGCCGCAGGGAAACCGAGUCUUAACUGGGCGUUAAGUUGCAGGGUAUAGACCCGAAACCCGGUGAUCUAGCCAUGGGCAGGUUGAAGGUUGGGUAACACUAACUGGAGGACCGAACCGACUAAUGUUGAAAAAUUAGCGGAUGACUUGUGGCUGGGGGUGAAAGGCCAAUCAAACCGGGAGAUAGCUGGUUCUCCCCGAAAGCUAUUUAGGUAGCGCCUCGUGAACUCAUCUUCGGGGGUAGAGCACUGUUUCGGCUAGGGGGUCAUCCCGACUUACCAACCCGAUGCAAACUACGAAUACCGAAGAAUGUUAUCACGGGAGACACACGGCGGGUGCUAACGUCCGUCGUGAAGAGGGAAACAACCCAGACCGCCAGCUAAGGUCCCAAAGUCAUGGUUAAGUGGGAAACGAUGUGGGAAGGCCCAGACAGCCAGGAUGUUGGCUUAGAAGCAGCCAUCAUUUAAAGAAAGCGUAAUAGCUCACUGGUCGAGUCGGCCUGCGCGGAAGAUGUAACGGGGCUAAACCAUGCACCGAAGCUGCGGCAGCGACACUAUGUGUUGUUGGGUAGGGGAGCGUUCUGUAAGCCGUUGAAGGUGGCCUGUGAGGGUUGCUGGAGGUAUCAGAAGUGCGAAUGCUGACAUAAGUAACGAUAAUGCGGGUGAAAAACCCGCACGCCGGAAGACCAAGGGUUCCUGUCCAACGUUAAUCGGGGCAGGGUGAGUCGACCCCUAAGGCGAGGCCGAAAGGCGUAGUCGAUGGGAAACAGGUUAAUAUUCCUGUACUUGGUGUUACUGCGAAGGGGGGACGGAGAAGGCUAUGUUGGCCGGGCGACGGUUGUCCCGGUUUAAGCAUGUAGGCGGAUGUUCCAGGUAAAUCCGGAACGUCACUAACGCUGAGGUGUGAUGACGAGGCACUACGGUGCUGAAGUGACAAAUGCCCUGCUUCCAGGAAAAGCCUCUAAGCAUCAGGUAACAUCAAAUCGUACCCCAAACCGACACAGGUGGUCAGGUAGAGAAUACCAAGGCGCUUGAGAGAACUCGGGUGAAGGAACUAGGCAAAAUGGUGCCGUAACUUCGGGAGAAGGCACGCUGAUGGUAGGUGAAGUGACUUGCUCAUGGAGCUGAAAUCAGUCGAAGAUACCAGCUGGCUGCAACUGUUUAUUAAAAACACAGCACUGUGCAAACACGAAAGUGGACGUAUACGGUGUGACGCCUGCCCGGUGCCGGAAGGUUAAUUGAUGGGGUUAUCCUCACGGAGAAGCUCUUGAUCGAAGCCCCGGUAAACGGCGGCCGUAACUAUAACGGUCCUAAGGUAGCGAAAUUCCUUGUCGGGUAAGUUCCGACCUGCACGAAUGGCGUAAUGAUGGCCAGGCUGUCUCCACCCGAGACUCAGUGAAAUUGAACUCGCUGUGAAGAUGCAGUGUACCCGCGGCAAGACGGAAAGACCCCGUGAACCUUUACUAUAGCUUGACACUGAACACUGGUCCUUGAUGUGUAGGAUAGGUGGGAGGCUUUGAAGUGUGGACGCCAGUCUGCAUGGAGCCAUCCUUGAAAUACCACCCUUUAAUGGCUGGUGUUCUAACGUGGGCCCGUGAUCCGGGUUGCGGACAGUGUCUGGUGGGUAGUUUGACUGGGGCGGUCUCCUCCUAAAGAGUAACGGAGGAGCACGAAGGUCAGCUAAUCCUGGUCGGACAUCAGGAGGUUAGUGCAAUGGCAUAAGCUGGCUUGACUGCGAGCGUGACGGCGCGAGCAGGUGCGAAAGCAGGUCAUAGUGAUCCGGUGGUUCUGAAUGGAAGGGCCAUCGCUCAACGGAUAAAAGGUACUCCGGGGAUAACAGGCUGAUACCGCCCAAGAGUUCAUAUCGACGGCGGUGUUUGGCACCUCGAUGUCGGCUCAUCACAUCCUGGGGCUGAAGUAGGUCCCAAGGGUAUGGCUGUUCGCCAUUUAAAGUGGUACGCGAGCUGGGUUUAGAACGUCGUGAGACAGUUCGGUCCCUAUCUGCCGUGGGCGCUGGAGAAUUGAGGGGGGCUGCUCCUAGUACGAGAGGACCGGAGUGGACGCAUCACUGGUGUUCGGGUUGUCAUGCCAAUGGCAUUGCCCGGUAGCUAAAUGCGGAAGAGAUAAGUGCUGAAAGCAUCUAAGCACGAAACUUGCCCCGAGAUGAGUUCUCCCUGACUCCUUGAGAGUCCUGAAGGAACGUUGAAGACGACGACGUUGAUAGGCCGGGUGUGUAAGCGCAGCGAUGCGUUGAGCUAACCGGUACUAAUGAACCGUGAGGCUUAACCUUACAACGCCGAAG